UCCUACGGGAGGCUGCAGUGGGGAAUAUUGGACAAUGGGCGAAAGCCUGAUCCAGCAAUGCCGCGUGAGUGAUGAAGGCCCUAGGGUUGUAAAGCUCUUUUACCCGGGAUGAUAAUGACAGUACCGGGAGAAUAAGCUCCGGCUAACUCCGUGCCAGCAGCCGCGGUAAUACGGAGGGAGCUAGCGUUGUUCGGAAUUACUGGGCGUAAAGCGCACGUAGGCGGCUUUGUAAGUUAGGGGUGAAAGCCCGGAGCUCAACGCCGGAAUUGCCUUUAAGACUGCAUCGCUGGAAUCCAGGAGGGGUGAGUGGAAUUCCGAGUGUAGAGGUGAAAUUCGUAGAUAUUCGGAAGAACACCAGUGGCGAAGGCGGCUCACUGGACUGGUAUUGACGCUGAGGUGCGAAAGCGUGGGGAGCAAACAGGAUUAGAUACCC
rnacentral:rRNA from 1 species